UGGUGGCGAGUGGCGAACGGGUGAGUAAUGCGUCGGAACGCGCCGAGUAGUGGGGGAUAACGCAGCGAAAGCUGUGCUAAUACCGCAUACGUACUGAGGUAGAAAGUGGGGGACCUUCGGGCCUCACGCUAUUCGAGCGGCCGACGUCUGAUUAGCUAGUUGGUGGGGUAAAGACUCACCAAGGCGACGAUCAGUAGCGGGUCUGAGAGGAUGAUCCGCCACACUGGGACUGAGACACGGCCCAGACUCCUACGGGAGGCAGCAGUGGGGAAUUUUGGACAAUGGGCGCAAGCCUGAUCCAGCCAUGCCGCGUGUC
rnacentral:rRNA from 1 species